ensembl:lncRNA
GGCAACGCCCCCGGCUCUAGCUGGAGGGGCAGGAGUGGUCGAGAGGAGAAAUAAGUAGGCACCUGGCCUUGGCCGCCCCGGACCCAGAAGCGGGGCAGCGGCUAUGGCUUACAGCGGCGGCUCCGGCGGCGGCAGCAGCAGCAGUUCUGGUUCCUGGUGGAAAUCAUUCGCCAAUAGCAGCUGGAAGAAAGGCAAGGACAGUAGUGGGGGCGGGAGCGCAGGGGCGCAGCCUCCAUCCCCUGCAGGCCCGCAGCCCGGCUCCACGGAGCCCUCUCCGCCCAGCCCGGACUGCCAGCACCCCGGCCUCCCGGGCACCGCCGACCCCAGGCUCGAUCGCUUGGGCGAGGAGAAAUCAGGCGGCAGUCGCCGCAACCUGAAGAUUUCCCGCUCGGGCAGGUUCAAAGAGAAGAGGAAGGUGCGGGCCACCCUGCUCCCGGACGGGACCAAGCCCCAGGAGGACUCGGAAUUUCCCUGCGCCCCUCACGAUGACAGGCAGUAGCCCAGGCGCCCCAGCGCUGCCCUCCAGAUUGCAGAUCUUGGGGGAGCCCGGAGGUGCAGCGGGACGGACCUCCACCGGCUCUGCUCCCCCUCCCCCAAUCUGAACUUAAUAUCCAUAUUAUGCCCUGGGAGCUUUCAUUACUGUGUCGAUGGAAGAGACAGUAGAGUUCUCAGUAUUUCAGGACUCAAUGAGGCAUCGACUUUUAAGAGUAACCACCUGCUAUUUGGCGUUUAUUUAAUAUAAUUAUUUUUCAGAAAACUCAUGGGUUCCUUCCUUCGCCACCACUCUCUUUUUUAUUUUGAGGGGAAGAAGAGUGCAUUCUCAAAUUUAGCUCCACCAAAGAGGAGUUUCCAUUGUGAUUCAGAACCUUCUCUCUACAAAGUGCCAGGACAGUAUUUCCUGUAUGGGAAAGGCACUUUAAAAGUGUCAGUAGCGGCGGUGGUACCAGUGUGCUUAGAACCACGCCUACCGAGAAGGUUUUUAAGCAGUGCGGGGAGUGGAAAGCGCCGAAUCUGGAGUCAGAUCUUGGCUUUGCAUCUAGGUUCUUCCAUUUGUGUGACCUUGAGCAAGUCAAGAGCCUGUAGGCCUCUCCUCCUCCUCCUCCUCCUCCUCCUCCUCCUCCUCCUCCUCCUCCUCCGUAAAGAGAACGGGUCAGACCAGAUGACCCCUGAGCUCUUCUGCCAGCUCCAAAUCUGUGAUUUUGGCAGUCUGGAUUUCUUUCCAUCCUGCAAUACCAAAUGGGAAUGCCUCUUUUUAGUGUGGACCAUUAAAAGUGGCUUGCAGUGUCAGACUUUAAGACAAGAAAUGCCUCUAGAAGACCUCAGAACUCUGCUCAAAACCCAACCAAGGAGGAGGAGGACUUGUCUGCUGCUGCUGCUGAAGGCCGAUGAAAAAGAAGAUGAAGAUUCAAAGACUGCUGAUGAAACCUGCAUUCCCACCUCUUGAGAGAGAGACAGACGGAGACGAGUGUUCUCAGCUGCGGCUGGCGUGUCUGUGUCUGUCUGGGACUGUUCACGUAUGUCAUAAAGGGCAGGCCUCAGGAGGACAGGUUAGUGGGCAGUGACAGAUGUGCAAAAGUGACCCCCCAA